rnacentral:rRNA from 1 species
AGAGUAGUUUCGAUCCUGCGACAGGACACGCUGGCGGCGUGCUUAACACAUGCAAGUCGAACGCUGAAGCCCAGCUUGCUGGGUGGAUGAGUGGCGAACGGUGAGUAACACGUGAGUACCUGCCCCUUCUUUGGGAUAACGCCCGAAACGGGUGCUAAUACUGGAUAUUCACUGGCCUUCGCAUGGGGGUUGGUGGAAAGGUUUUUUCUGGUGGGGGAUGGGCUCGCGGCCUAUCAGCUUGUUGGUGGGGUGAUGGCCUACCAAGGCUUUGACGGGUAGCCGGCCUGAGAGGGUGACCGGUCACAUUGGGACUGAGAUACGGCCCAGACUCCUACGGGAGGCAGCAGUGGGGAAUAUUGCACAAUGGGCGAAAGCCUGAUGCAGCGACGCCGCGUGAGGGAUGACGGCCUUCGGGUUGUAAACCUCUUUCGCUCAUGGUCAAGCCGCGACAUUGGUUGUGGUGAGGUAGUGGGUAAAGAAGCGCCGGCUAACUACGUG